GUGGGUCUCCGCUGUGGCCAGGCAGUUCAGCCUUGCCGUCAACCCUCCAUGUGAUGAGUGAGUUGCCGGUUGAGCUGGAAUGUCCUGGUAUUGGGGGCUCAUCUGGUAUUGUAGACAACCAUCUGUCUAACCUGUUCGUGAAGAGGUCCGGUGUGACCCCUGGCAGGUUCCUGAUGGUGUCCGGCACAGCGUUGAAGAGGUCCGCUUAAAACGACACACCGAUUUAUUUGAAGUCAAGGACGGAGAUUGAAACGGCCUUGAAAAACACCACACCUGUUUUGUCCACCGCCAUCACCACCUUCUUCCAGAUCAAGGACAAAGUGUAUUACAGAUUCACACAUAAGGAAGAGGUGCAUGCCAUGAGGGAGGCGGUGGAGGUGUGGGGGGUCCAGCACGCCAUCACAGACAACCUGCAGUUCAUGCUUGGGAUGGAACACACUGGGACAGCCUCGGACCAUUGGUGGGAGGAAGACAAGGCUGUGGCAAUUUUGCCACUCAGACCUGUUGCCA